GCGCAUGUGGCGUAAUGGUAGCCGCGCCAGACUUAGGAUCUGGUGUUUCACGACGUGGGGGUUCGAGUCCCCCCAUGCGCA
rnacentral:tRNA from 1 species